AAAACUUUUAACAACGGAUCUCUUGGCUCUCGCAUCGAUGAAGAACGCAGCGAAAUGCGAUAAGUAAUGUGAAUUGCAGAAUUCAGUGAAUCAUCGAAUCUUUGAACGCACCUUGCGCCCGUUGGUAUUCCGACGGGCAUGCCUGUUUGAGUGUCGUGA
rnacentral:rRNA from 1 species